CGCUGCCCAAGGCAGCAAUGGCACAAUACAGGCUAGCCUACAGGCGCACAAGCCUCUUGUUGUGCGUGCAAGGCUUAGGCGCGCUGGGCGUUGUGCACGCAAGCCCUAGGCACAUAGGGUCUAUCAGCGAAUGCAUGCUAUGCAAACGGCAUGCGCACAGUGUGCGACGCCUGUCUGUGCGCGAGGUGACGCGUGCACGACCCGUCUGUGUGCGAUAGGAUGCGCGUAGGUCUUGACCCCGCAUCAUGUGCGCUGGGCGCACGUCCCUUAUGUGCAGGCAGGUGGAGGGGACGUGCACGUUGUGCGCGCGUCCCAUGCAUGCGAACAGGACUACGCGUUGGACGUACGUCCCGCGACUACUAUACGGGCAUGCGCGCGCGCACAUUGACCAGCACUUGCACAGGCAACCUGACUCCCUGUAGGAUUU
rnacentral:lncRNA from 1 species